rnacentral:rRNA from 1 species
AGAGUUUGAUCCUGGCUCAGGACGAACGCUGGCGGCGUGCCUUAUGAAUGCGAGUCGAGCGGAACCUGACACCGUACGAAGCGCUUCGGCGCUGAGUAUACCGUCAGGUUCAGCGGCGAACGGGUGAGUAACACGUGGGUAACGUACCCCCGAGUUCGGAAUAACUCCGAGAAAUCGGUGCUAAUGCCGAAUAUCGUGGUCUGAGGGCAUCUUCAGACUAUGAAAGGCUUUGGUCGCUCGGGGAUCGGUUCGCGGCCCAUUAGCUAGUUGGUGAGGUAAUGGCUCACCAAGGCGACGAUGGGUAGCCGGCCUGAGAGGGUGGCCGGUCACACUGGGACUGAGACAUGGUCCAGACUCCUACGGGAGUUAGCAUCAGGGAAUCUUGCGCAAUGGGCGAAAGCCUGACGCAGCGACGCCGCGUGGGUGAUGAAGGCCCUAGGGUCGUAAAGCCCUGUCAGGUGGGACGAAUACCCGAGCGUGCUCGGGCUUGACGGUACCACCAAAGGAAGCCCCGGCUAACUACGUGCCAGCAGCCGCGGUAAUACCGUAGGGGGCGAGCGUUGUCCGGAAUUAUUGGGCGUAAAGGGCGCGUAGGCGGCGAGGCAAGUCGCAGGUGAAAUCCUCAGGCUCAACCUGAGAACUGCUUGCGAAACUGCCCCGCUAGAGUGUGGGAGAGGAGAGCGGAAUUCCCGGUGUAGCGGUGAAAUGCGUAGAUAUCGGGAGGAACACCAGUGGCGAAGGCGGCUCUCUGGACCACAACUGACGCUGAGGCGCGAAAGCUAGGGGAGCGAACGGGAUUAGAUACCCCGGUAGUCCUAGCUGUAAACGAUGGGGACUAGGUGUUGGGGGCAUCGACCCCCCCAGUGCCGCAGCGAACGCAAUAAGUCCCCCGCCUGGGGAGUACGACCGCAAGGUUGAAACUCAAAGGAAUUGACGGGGGCCCGCACAAGCGGUGGAGCAUGUGGCUCAAUUGGAUGCAACGCCAAUAACCUUACCAGGGCUUGACAUCCCCGGACCGCCUGUGAAAGCAGGUUUCCUGGGCAACCAGGCCGGGUGACAGGUGGUGCAUGGCUGUCGUCAGCUCGUGUCGUGAGAUGUUGGGUUAAGUCCCGCAACGAGCGCAACCCUCAUCGGAUGUUGCCAUCGGGUAAAGCCGGGCACUCUUCCGAAACUGCCGGAGUAAUCCGGAGGAAGGUGAGGACGACGUCAAGUCAGCAUGCCCCUUACGCCCUGGGCUGCACACGUGCUACAAUGGCUCGCACAAAGGGUUGCCAAACCGCGAGGUGGAGCGAAUCCCAGAAAGCGAGUCUCAGUUGGGAUUGGAGUCUGCAACUCGACUCCAUGAACGUGGAAUCGCUAGUAACCGCGUAUCAGCAACGGCGCGGUGAAUACGUUCCCGGGCCUUGUACACACCGCCCGUCAAGUCACGAAAGCUGGUAGCACCCGAAGCCGGUGAGCCAACCGUUUAUCGGAGGCAGCCGUCGAAGGUGAGACUAGUGAUUGGGACUAAGUCGUAACAAGGUAACC